CCUACGGGAGGCAGCAGUGGGGAAUAUUGGUCAAUGGGCGCGAGCCUGAACCAGCCAAGUAGCGUGAAGGAUGACGGCCCUACGGGUUGUAAACUUCUUUUAUAAAGGAAUAAAGUGAGGCACGUGUGCCUUUUUGGAUGUACGUUAUGAAUAAGGAAAGGCUAACUCCGUGCCAGCAGCCGCGGUAAUACGGAGGAGCCGAGCGUUAUCCGGAUUUCUUGGGUUUAACGGGAGCGUAGAGGGGUUGUUAAGUCAGUUGUGAAGGUUUGCGGCUCAACCGUAAAAUUGCAAUUGAUACGGGCAGUCUUGAGUACAGUUGCGGUCGGCGGAAUUCGUGGUGUAGCGGU
rnacentral:rRNA from 1 species